rnacentral:sRNA from 1 species
AUUCAUUCAUUUGACACUCGUCGAAGAUGGCACGUACCAAGCAGACCGCAAGAAAAUCUACUGGAGGUAAAGCUCCACGUAAACAACUGGCCACCAAGGCAGCCCGUAAGAGCGCUCCAGCAACUGGUGGCGUCAAGAAACCCCACAGAUACAGGCCAGGAACCGUCGCUCUUCGUGAGAUCAGGAGAUACCAGAAAAGCACAGAGCUGCUGAUCAGGAAACUGCCAUUCCAGCGUCUGGUCCGUGAGAUUGCUCAGGACUUCAAGACCGACCUGCGUUUCCAGAGUUCAGCCGUCAUGGCUCUCCAGGAAGCCAGCGAAGCCUACCUUGUCGGACUCUUUGAGGACACCAACUUGUGCGCUAUCCACGCCAAGAGAGUCACCAUCAUGCCCAAAGAUAUCCAGCUUGCCAGACGUAUCCGUGGCGAGAGAGCUUAGAUUCUCUUUUGUCUCUUGACAAACUCAAAACGGCCGUUUUCACGGCCACCAAAACCUUUAGAAAAGAUGCCUUCACAUUACAUACAAUUGAUACUCUAAUUAUUGAAUAAGCGUGCAUUCAUCUAUAAUAAAUAUAUGUAAGAUGGCUCGCAUAAACACACGCACACAUAUAUAUCCCAUGAAUAAAAUAAA